rnacentral:rRNA from 1 species
GACGAACGCUGGAGGCGUGCUUAACACAUGCAAGUCGAACGAUGAAAUGGAGCUUGCUCCAUGGAUUAGUGGCGAACGGGUGAGUAACACGUGAAUAACCUGCCCUUAAUUUUGGAAUAACCCAGGGAAACCUGGGCUAAUACCGGAUAAGUAAACCUGUGGCAUCACAUGGUUUUGGAAAGUUUUUCGAUUAAGGAUGGAUUCGCGGCCUAUCAGCUUGUUGGUGAGGUAAUGGCUCACCAAGGCGACGACGGGUAGCCGGCCGGAGAGGGGGAACGGCCACACUGGGACUGAGAAAAGGCCCAGACUCCUACGGGAGGCAGCAGUGGGGAAUAUUGCGCAAUGGACGAAAGUCUGACGCAGCGACGCCUCGUGAGGGACGAAGGUCUUCGGAUUGUAAACCUCUUUCAGCAGGGACGAAGCGAAAGUGACGGUACCUGCAGAAGAAGCACCGGCUAACUAUGUGCCAGCCGCCGCAGUAA